rnacentral:rRNA from 1 species
GACGAACGCUGGCGGCGUGCCUAAUACAUGCAAGUCGAGCGCAGGAAGCCGACGGAACCCUUCGGGGGGAAGUCGACGGAAUGAGCGGCGGACGGGUGAGUAACACGUAAAGAACCUGCCCUCAGGUCUGGGAUAACCACGAGAAAUCGGGGCUAAUACCGGAUGGGUCAUCGGACCGCAUGGUCCGAGGAUGAAAGGCGCUUCGGCGUCGCCUGGGGAUGGCUUUGCGGUGCAUUAGCGAGUUGGUGGGGUAAUGGACCACCAAGGCGACGGUGAAUAGCCGCACUGAGAGGGGGAUCGGCCAGCCUGGGACUGAGACACAGCCCAGACUCCUACGGGAGGCAGCAGUAGGGAAUCUUCCACGAUGGACGAAAGUCUGAUGGAGCAACGCCGCGUGAACGAUGAAGGCCGUCGGGUCGUAAAGUUCUGUUGUAAGGGAAGAACAAGUGCCGCAGGCAAUGGCGGCACCUUGACGGUACCUUGCGAGAAAGCCACGGCUAACUACGUGCCAGCCGCCGCCGUAAAAC